AGAUACCCUGGUAGUCCACGCCCUAAACGAUGUCAACUAGCUGUUGGGGCCUUCGGGCCUUAGUAGCGCAGCUAACGCGUGAAGUUGACCGCCUGGGGAGUACGGUCGCAAGAUUAAAACUCAAAGGAAUUGACGGGGACCCGCACAAGCGGUGGAUGAUGUGGAUUAAUUCGAUGCAACGCGAAAAACCUUACCUACCCUUGACAUGUCUGGAAUCCCGAAGAGAUUUGGGAGUGCUCGCAAGAGAACCGGAACACAGGUGCUGCAUGGCUGUCGUCAGCUCGUGUCGUGAGAUGUUGGGUUAAGUCCCGCAACGAGCGCAACCCUUGUCAUUAGUUGCUACGAAAGGGCACUCUAAUGAGACUGCCGGUGACAAACCGGAGGAAGGUGGGGAUGACGUCAAGUCCUCAUGGCCCUUAUGGGUAGGGCUUCACACGUCAUACAAUGGUCGGGACAGAGGGUCGCCAACCCGCGAGGGGGAGCCAAUCCCAGAAACCCGAUCGUAGUCCGGAUUGUAGUCUGCAACUCGACUACAUGAAGUCGGAAUCGCUAGUAAUCGCGGAUCAGAAUGUCGCGGUGAAUACGUUCCCGGGUCUUGUACACACCGCCCGUCACACCAUGGGAGUGGGUUUCACCAGAAGUAGUUAGCCUAACCGCAAGGAGGGCGAUUACCACGGUGGGAUUCAUGACUGGGGUGAAGUCGUAACAAGGUAACCAAU
rnacentral:rRNA from 1 species